GAUGAACGCUGGUGGCGUGCCUAAUACAUGCAAGUCGAGCGAACGGACGAGAAGCUUGCUUCUCUGAUGUUAGCGGCGGACGGGUGAGUAACACGUGGAUAACCUACCUAUAAGACUGGGAUAACUUCGGGAAACCGGAGCUAAUACCGGAUGAUAUUUUGAACCGCAUGGUUCAAAAGUGAAAGACGGUCUUGCUGUCACUUAUCGAUGGAUCCGCGCUGCAUUAGCUAGUUGGUAAGGUAACGGCUUACCAAGGCAACGAUGCAUAGCCGACCUGAGAGGGUGAUCGGCCACACUGGAACUGAGACACGGUCCAGACUCCUACGGGAGGCAGCAGUAGGGAAUCUUCCGCAAUGGGCGAAAGCCUGACGGAGCAACGCCGCGUGAGUGAUGAAGGUCUUCGGAUCGUAAAACUCUGUUAUUAGGGAAGAACAUAUGUGUAAGUAACUGUGCACAUCUUGACGGUACCUAAUCAGAAAGCCACGGCUAACUACGUG
rnacentral:rRNA from 1 species